CAACAUUCUUGAGGUUGUAAAGAUUUUAAAAUCAGCAUUUUAGAAGAACAUGGAAUUUGAAUCAAUUUUAUUAAAUUGCUUGCUUUAAGGUUAUUUGACACGUCAACUAAAGUUCUCACUGUUGCGCAAGAGCUUCAAUCAGCAUCCGUUGUGACAUCGAUCAAGUUGUAUCUCUUCUGACGGAAAUAAAAGAGAAAAAGAAAGUCUAAGAGCAAGCAAAAGUUGAAAGAAUAGACAAACGCUUAGCAACUGAGUUGGCGAAGAAAUCAAAACCCCCAGUAAAAAAAAAAGUUGUGUAUACUAAGCCAAUACAAACAAAAGAAGAAAGUCUAAAACAGCAUCUCAUUCAGAUUGCACGCAAUGAUAUGACCGGGGAUUUCUAGUUUAAUUUGUAACUAAAGUAAAAAAAAAAAAAACUUUGAUUCUUUAACAAUAGUUUAGACUUGAAAAUAAAUCUUUAUCAAAAAGAAAAAAACCUAUUUAAAAAAAAAAAUAAAUAAUUGUGGCGAACACUAGCAACAAAAAAAAUUAUCAGAUAGCGAACAUAUGUUUCAUGCUAGUGGUCGCCAUUUGGCUUUUACGGGUGCUAUAGCUCCCAGUUUUAUUAUCGGAGGUAAUUUAUUUUAUAGUCAUCAUAAAGACUAACUAUCGAUCGGCUAAGAUUAAAAUAUUUAUCAUUUAUGUAAAAACGAGUGAGAAAUAAAUACUUAUAUCGGACUAAGUCUGAAAAAGUGGCGAACACUGGGUGUUUUACCCUAUGCCGAUAAAAAGAAAUAAUACUUUCGGUGAUAAAAGCCAUAAAAUUAAGAGGACUGAGACUCGCUUCCUGUUCUGACCAUAUUCGUGACAUAAUUGAGGAAAGCAGCGUAAAAAUUCAUAAACAAGAGGUAUUCUGUAAGAAGACCGUUAGGACUUAUUACAGAAGUUUUAUCGUUUUUUUUUUAUAAAAAUUAAAUAAAAUCUACAUUUUAUGAGGAAGACAUACACAAUAGCCACAAUAGAUUGAUUGUGAUAAUAAUCCAGAUAAAUAACCAGUUGG